rnacentral:rRNA from 1 species
GAUGAACGCUGGCGGCGUGCCUAAUACAUGCAAGUCGAGCGAACAGACGAGGGGCUUGCUCCUCUGACGUUAGCGGCGGACGGGUGAGUAACACGUGGAUAACCUCCCUAUAAGUCUGGGAUAACUUCGGGAAACCGGAGAUAAUACCGGAUAAUAUAUUGAACCGCAUGGUUCAAUAGUGAAAGACGGUUUUGCUGUCACUUAUAGAUGGUUCCGCGCCGCAUUAGCUAGUUGGUAAGUUAACGGCUUACCAAGGCAACGAUGCGUAGCCGACCUGAGAGGGUGGUAGGCCACACUGGAACUGGGACACGGUCCAGACUCCUACGGGAGGCAGCAGUAGGGUAUCUUCCGCAAUGGGCGAAAGCUUGACGGAGCAACGCCGCGUGAGUGAUGAAGGUCUUCGGAUCGUAAAGCUCUGUUAUUAGGGAAGAACAAAUGUGGAAGUAACUAUGCACGUCUUGACGGUACCUAAUCAGAAAGCCACGGCUAACUACGUG